rnacentral:snRNA from 2 species
AGCCUUGUACGGUGGCCGUAUUGUUGCCAGUGAGGUUUAUCCAAGGUGCGAUUAUUACUAAUUGAAAACUUUUCCCCCGAAAUCU